rnacentral:lncRNA from 1 species
CUUCGUAUCAUUUCCUGCAUCAAAGCUCAGAAACUCCUGCGAAAGGAGUGUGUUGCAUUCUUGGCCCAUGUAAUCAACGAGAAUCAAGAAGUUAAAAACCUCGCGAGCAUCCCCGAGGUCUGCAAUUUUCCUGAUGUGUUUCCCGAAGAGCUUCCAGGAAUCCCUCCCGAGCGUCAGGUCGAGUUCCGUAUUGACCUAAUUCCUGGGGCUACUCCUGUAGCGAAGUCUCCGUAUCGCUUAGCUCCAGCAGAGAUGCAGGAGUUAUCCAGUCAACUUAACGAGUUGCUUAGCAAAGGAUUCAUUAGACCGAGUUCCUCACCCUGGGGAGCUCCGGUUUUGUUUGUCAAGAAGAAGGAUGGAUCCUUUCGUAUGUGUAUCGAUUAUCGCGAGCUGAACAAGUUGACUGUCAAAAACCGAUAUCCUCUUCCGCGAAUAGAUGACCUUUUCGAUCAACUCCAGGGAGCCAGUUACUUCUCUAAGAUAGACCUUCGGUCAGGGUACCAUCAGUUGCGAGUUCAUGAAAGUGAUGUGCCCAAAACAGCUUUCAGGACUCGAUAUGGACACUACGAGUUCGUAGUGAUGCCCUUUGGUUUAACCAACGCACCGGCAGUGUUCAUGGAUCUGAUGAACCGGGUGUGUCGUCCUUAUUUGGAUAAGUUUGUCAUAGUAUUCAUCGAUGACAUACUCGUCUAUUCCCGAAGUGAAGAAGACCACAAACAACACUUGAGGCUAGUGUUGGAGACCCUGCGAUCCGAGAAGUUAUACGCGAAGUUUUCAAAAUGUGAGUUCUGGAUACGGAAGGUAACUUUCCUUGGUCACGUGGUAAGUGAGGAGGGUAUUCAUGUCGAUCCUUCCAAGAUUAAGGCAAUAGAGAAUUGGUCAGCACCGAAGACACCCACAGAAAUCCGACAAUUCUUGGGUCUCGCUGGCUAUUAUCGAAGGUUCAUCCAAAACUUUUCCCGAAUCGCCAAACCUCUAACCACUCUAACACAGAAAGGUGUACCCUUUUGUUGGGGUGAUAAACAAGAAACCGCAUUUCAGACGUUGAAGAAAGCUUUGUGCAGCGCGCCUGUCCUGUCCCUACCCGAAGGGACAGAGGACUUUGUUGUCUACUGCGAUGCGUCUACUCAAGGUUUAGGCUGUGUGCUUAUGCAGAGAGGAAAAGUAAUUGCUUAUGCCUCUAGACAGUUGAAAGCACACGAGGUCAACUAUACCACACACGACUUGGAGCUAGGAGCCGUAGUUUUUGCAUUGAAGAUUUGGAGGCAUUACCUUUACGGAACCAAGUGCACGAUCUUCACCGACCAUAAGAGCCUACAACAUAUCUUCGACCAAAAAGACUUGAAUAUGAGACAAAGGCGAUGGGUAGAACUACUCAGUGAUUAUGAGUGUGAAAUCCGUUACCAUCCCGGCAAGGCCAAUGUGGUAGCAGAUGCCCUUAGCCGAAAGGAGAGUACAAGCAACAAGGUGAAGAGCCAGUCGAUAACCAUCCAUUCCAACCUACCCAUGCAAAUCCGAGAAGCUCAGUUAGAAGCCCUGAAACCCGAGAACAUGACAACUGAAGCUUUGAGAGGGAUGGAAAAGAAACUUGAGAUCAGAAGUGACGGAGUCCAUUGUUUUAUGGAUCGAAUCUGGAUUCCCAAGUCCGGAGGAUUUAGAGAGUUAGUCAUGGAGGAAGCACACAGAACCAGAUACUCUGUUCACCCGGGCUCUGACAAGAUGUACUUAGAUCUCAAGAAACAAUAUUGGUGGCCAAAUAUGAAGGCUGAGAUAGCUUCAUUUGUGGGCAAGUGUCUGACUUGCGCCAAGGUAAAAGUUGAACACCAGAAACCCUCGGGUCUGCUCCAGCAACCUGAGAUACCUGAAUGGAAAUGGGAGAUGAUCACCAUGGAUUUCAUCACCAAACUACCCAAGUGCUCGAGUGGGUAUGAUACCAUUUGGGUGAUUGUCGAUCGUUUGACAAAAUCAGCUCACUUCGUUCCAAUCAAAGAAUCAUACAAGAUGGAAAGACUCGCACGGAUAUAUAUUCAAGAGGUAGUCCGACUACACGGUGUACCUGCAUCCAUUAUCUCUGAUCGAGAUAGCAGGUUUACUUCCCGAUUUUGGCAGUCUCUCCAGAAAGCCCUUGGAACCCAAAUAGACAUGAGCACGGCAUACCAUCCUCAGACCGACGGUCAAAGCGAGAGAACAAUCCAAACCCUGGAGGACAUGCUUAGGGCAUGUGUCAUUGACUUUGGAAAGUCGUGGGACGCACAUCUACCUUUGAUCGAAUUCUCGUACAACAACAGUUACCACACCAGCAUUAGGGCUGCCCCGUUCGAAGCCCUAUACGGUCGCAAGUGCAGAUCCCCUCUGUGCUGGGCCGAGGUAGGAGAUACACAGUUAGCCAAGAGUCGAGUCCCCGACAGUGCACUUACUGGUCCUGAAAUCAUCCGUGAAACCACUGAGAAAAUUAUCCAAAUCCGUGAACGACUAAAGGCCUCGCGCGAUCGUCAGAAGAGUUACGCUGAUAAUCGUCGGAAACCACUAGAAUUCCAGGUUGGGGACCGUGUUCUGUUGAAGGUCUCGCCCUGGAAAGGCACUGUACGCUUCGGUAAACGUGGGAAACUUAAUCCGAGGUACAUUGGACCUUUUGAAAUCAUCGCCAGAGUUGGUCCGGUAGCCUAUAAGCUUCAUUUACCUCACGAACUUAGUAACAUCCAUCCCGUCUUUCAUGUUUCAAACCUCAAGAAGUGCCUAUCCGAUGAAACCCUAGUGAUUCCAUUAGACGAGAUUGAGAUCGAUGAAAACCUCAACUUUGUGGAGGAACCAAUCGAAAUCAUGGAUCGAGAAGUCAAACGUACGAAACAGAGUCGCAUCCCGUUGGUGAAGGUUCGCUGGAAUGCCAAGCGGGGACCGGAGUUCACUUGGGAGCGAGAAGACUCGAUGAAACAAAAAUAUCCACAACUCUUUCUAGGUCCAUGAUUUGUAUUUUCUCUUAUCUCUUGUCUUGAAUUUCGGGACGAAAUUCCCUCUAACGGGGGGAUAAUGUAACAACCCGAAAUUUCAUGUCACUUCUUGUACCACAACUUGUAAUCCAAUCCGAUCAACCAGACGUCAUUUUCAAUUUCGUUUCCAAUUUCGCCAUUUUAUUAAGUCAUUAGUUUAUAUUGACCUAAAAUGACUUAAUGGGUGUCUUAAUACAUUUAGAAAUCAUUUUAACACCCCACUUUAGUGAUCGGAAUAAUUAUAGAAUCGGCCAUAUCGAGUCACGACAAUUUGGUCGGGUAUGACCAAAAGCCUCACUUAACGUCGGUAUCGGGUAGAAUUCCGUCGUGUCCAAUUCCCGAACACUAUAUAAAGUGUUUUAAGACUUCAUUUGAAGCCUUUGGCCAAUUUCUCACUAAACUCUCACAACCUCUCUCCUCAAGCUAGAAUUAAGGUCCAAAUCUCAAGUUUAAGGCUUCAAAUCUUUAAGGUAACCUCCCUAGCAUGUUAUUCAACAUCUUUAGCCUUCAAAUUGAUGAAUUAAUUGAGUUUUGGGACCAAGAACAUGAGUUUACGGCCAAGGAGCAAGCUUGGGCCGUAAACUCCAUUAAAUGGGGUUUUUAAGCCAAAUUACCCUUCCAAAUCAAAGUUGGGACUUAGAUAUGACUAUAAGGCUUGCAAAUCUAGACUUAAAACAAUUAAAACAUGAAUUAUGAGGGACAAAAGAGAGUUUACGGCCAAGGUAUGUUCUUGGGCCGUAAACUCCUCUUUAAUGGGGAUUUAGUGCCUUUAAACAUGUCCAAAUGCUUUGAAACUCAACCAAUGGCCUUGUGGUAAAUCCUAGAUUCAUCUAAAAAUGAUUUGGAGACCUUAAACACAACAAAUGCCCUACAUAAGUGAGUUUACGGCCAAAGAACUCCUCCUAGGCCGUAAACUCCUAUAAGUGUGUCAAAUGAUGUCUUAAACCACCCUAAAGGCUUGGAAAAAUUUCUAGAAUUACAUAUGAGUGUUUUAAGCAUCAAAAACUAAUUUUUCAAGAGCAUAAGGAGAGUUUACGGCCAUAGAACAUGCCUCUAGGCCGUAAACUCCUAAAAGUUUGUUAAAUGGUAACCUAAAUUCAUAACAAUGCUUAGAAAAUUAGUUAGAAUCACAUGUGAUUGUCCUUUGUAGUUCAAAUUAAUCAUUCUUGGCCAUGGGUGAGUUUACGGCCAUAAACUCCAAGAGUGUGGCCAUAAACUCCCUUUUAAAUGAUGUUAAUUCAUUCCAAGUGUUCCAAGGCAUUUUAGAUAUCCAUUCUGGCAAUCCCCAUGUCCAUUUAAGCCCUUAAACCCUGAAAAUCACACCAACAUGAGUUUACGGCCGUAAACUCAUGUGUGGGUGUGUUUUGUGGUUGUAAACUCAUUUAAAUGUUUACUUAUGGAGAGUAAACUCAAGUCCCAAGUCCCUAGUGCCAUAUUUCAUCCGUAGAUGUCACCCGGGUCACUCCAAACGCUCGUUUUGAGGUGUUUAACCUCGUUGGAGUGUAAUGUCCUAAAUAAUUAGUGAUUGUAAAUCUAAUUAGUAUUAUAUGGACAAUAUUACAUUUUACAUAGGGACAUCGCGAGUAAACAAUCCCCGAACCAACGUCUAGUAUCCAAAACCGACACAUUUCCGAGUCCGGUGAGUUCAUACCCCUACCUUUUUCACUGUUUUUCACUGUUUUCAGGGGGGAACACAAGCAAAGUACAAGGGUUUUCUUGUACUCAAAACUUAUUUUCGUGUGUGUGUUUCACAUUUCAUAUGCUUUUAAUAUUGAUAUACACAACUGAUAACUAGUAGAAUACACAGAUCAUUUAAACAUUUAUUUGUGAAAUGGGUUUUAUAAACUGUUAUGUUUUGUAUAUUUCACAAAUGGUUUCCACAUUUUAUCAGUUAAAAGCAUGACAUUAUAACGCAUGAACAGUAUAAUCCGUACACAGUCUUGUCCUCGCGAAUGGUGGAUUAUCCUAUUAUUACUAGUAAAUUUGUUAUUCCGUAUGAUUGGAGACACGUCCUCGGCGAACACUCCACAGAGAUACGCGAGUGGAGGACUACACCCGUAACCAGAAGCUCUGGAAUUUAGAGAGCGUGACUUGAGUGUACAGAUCUAUACGGGGCUGACUACCCCACACCUGGCUGCUAGCUACAGCCGAACCGAAAUGGUUCAAGGGUGACGAAAGUCAUAAGGAUUGUGGACUACUUAUUGCCACAAGGCUGUGGACUACUUAUUGCCACAGGUUCAGUCUUUAGUAUGGUUAUGGAACUCGCAACUAGGAUAACAGAGAUUUACUUAUAGUAAUAAUGAACCACAUACUACAUUUUACAGAUAACCAGGAUUCAGUUUACAUCUUUUACAUCUUUUACAUAUGAUAACCAACCUUCAGGAAGGUAUGGGACCUUCCUGGGAAAUCUUGUACACAACCAGGUUUAACAGAAUACAUCUUUUACAUUGAAAACAAAAAUACAGGAAAGCAUGGGGAAUUCCUGGGUAACAUACACAUAAUCAGAAAAGAGUAACCAACUGAAUAACAUUACAUCUUUUACAAUAACUACCCUUCAGGAAAGUAUGGGACUUUCCUGGGAAUACACUGAUACAUUAAAGACAUAAAACAAUGAAUUGGAUAACUAAACCAUACAUUACUUUUAUGAAACAACAACCAACUUUUAAGAAAAUAUGGGAUUUUCUUGGCGUGUGUUACAUUUUCAGAAACAGAAAGGAAACAUAAACAUUUUCACAAAACAAAACUACUUAUGAACUCACCAGCGUUAUGCUGAUUUUCAAACUGCUUGUGUUCUCAGGUCAACGAUAGUACAGGUACCCGAAGACUUACUUGGUUCAGGAUCGUGUGCGUGCAAGGCUCGUUCGUUUUGUUUAUAUCUAUAUUAUGUAUCACAACUGUAUAAACUGUGUCUUUUGAAACAAAUUGUAAAACUUUUAAUAUGUAAUGUAAUGGUUGUUUUACUUUACUUACUAUGUACAUUGGAUUUGAUACUCAACGUGGAGUCAACCCCGGAAAUGUUUCCGCCUUCGGUUUUCGGGGUGUGACAGAUUGGUAUCAGAGCCCUUGUUUAUAGUGAAUAAAGUAUACCAAACCUUACAUGGUAUAAAGCUAUAAACACUAAAGGGCCUCAGUGCUCUGAAUUAAAAGUAUUUUCAAACUACAAGUAUUUUCAAAAUAUACAAGUAUACCGAACCGUCGAGAUCCAUAACUAUAAGUAGAACAAAACAUAAGUAAACGGGUGUUGCGUAUUGCAGCUAAACCUGGGCAGUUAUGUAGUCGUGUCUAGGGUCAAUAUAGCCUGGCUAACUAUAUUCAUUCGAGACACGGCCAACAUGUGCUUGGGAGUGAUUGUGGUAUGCGGCAUGCCUAAAACUUACCUUAAUACCACAAACAUCGAGCCAGUAUCCUAGCAAACCAUGAAAUACUAUGGGAGUAUUUCUCGAAUCAUCGUACACGUAUAGACCCCCGAUUGUUCUGUUAGCGAUAGUUUACCUACUUCAAUAACUCUUUUCUGCUUUAUCGCUUAUUUGGAUUUAAUAUCUGUCAUAUCUCUCGAUUCAAUUCAGAGGACUUAUCAUUCUCUCUCUUUCUUGAUCUUAUUAAAUCAAGAUGCCUCCCAGAAGUAGAUCCAACUCCAACAACCCUCCGCCACCUCCUCCUGAAAUCGAUCUCGUGUUAUUUCAAACAGCUGUUACCACCGCGGUGGCAGCUGCCAUGUCCCAGCUAAAUACCGGUGGUUCAGGAGGCAGUAAUCAGAAUCAAGAUGGUAACCAGGAACGCCGUAAGGAGGGUUCCUACAAGGACUUCAUGAAUGCGAAGCCUUCUUUCUUCAAUAGCAUUGGUGGUGUCAUUUCCUUAUCUCGAUGGUUCGAGAGAAUCGAAUCCAUCUUCGAAAUCUGUGCUUGUGCUGAGUCUGAUAAGGUCAAGUUCGCAGCUUGUACCUUCCUUGAUAAAGCAUUGACUUGUUGGAAUGGCCGAGUCAAACCCUUAACCCUCCCUGUAGCCAAUGCCAUGAGCAGGGAAGCUAUGAAAGAACUCCUCGUUGUUGAAUAUUGUCCCCGACGUGAAAUGCAAAAGCUAGAGCACGAGCUCUGGAACCUGAAGAUGAAAGGUUCCAACAUUGCUGCCUACACUUCCCGAUUUGAUGAUCUUGCCCUUCUUUGCCCUAGUCUAGUCACCCCUGAAAGCAAAAAGAUUGAGAGGUUUAUUUGGGGACUAACUUAUGAUAGUGCUAAGACUUUAGCCCAAGCCAUAAUUCACCACAGUGAUGAUGUUGAGGAAGCCACCACUGCUACCCCUGAGUCGACUAAAAGCAGUGGUGAGAAAAGGAAAUUCUGGAAGAAGAAGGGUCAAUCUUCCCAAGGCUCCUCCAAAAGACAACAAACAGUAGCAGUCCAUGCUACUACUACCCCCGUUGCUGCUGCCUCUGUUGUGGGAUCCACAGCUCCAACUCCUACCAACCGGUAUGUUGGUAAUCUCCCUCUUUGAGAAAAGUGCAAGUAUCACCACAACCCUGGUCCCUGUCGAGAACUAUCCUGUACCAAUUGUGGUAAGAAGGGGCACACCGUUCGAUACUGCAAAGCUCCGACCCAAUCAGCAAAUCAAUCCUCUGGAACAGGCGUCGGUCAAGCCUGUUAUAACUGUGGUGAAGUCGGGCACUUUAAAAGGAACUGCCCCAAGAAGACUACUGUUGACAACACCGGAAGCGUCCUUGCUAUGGGACGGGAAGAAGCGGUCGCCGAUCCCACUAUUGUCUCGGGUACGUUCCUUCUCGACAACUCGUAUGCUAAUAUUCUCUUCGAUUCGGGUGCUGAAAGAAGUUUUAUUAGUCAUGCAUUCAAACAUAACCUAAAACAUGAUUCCCAACCUCUAACCGAAAUAUUUACCGUCGAGAUGGCAAACGGAGAGAAAGAAAAUGCGAGUGAGGUAUUCGUAGAUUGCACUCUCACCCUGAACGACCGUUCAUUUCCUAUUGAUCUUAUGCAGUAUCCAUAAAGAUUUUUGAUGUCAUCAUUGGCAUGGAUUGGUUGAGUCCCAAUCAUGCAGAUAUCCUUUGCUUCGAAAAAGCCAUCCGUCUCAACCUUCCUUCGGGUCCAACCCUAGUGAUCUAUGGCGAUAAACUCGGUUCCAACCUUCGUAUCAUUUCCUGCAUCAAAGCUCAGAAACUCUUGCGAAAGGAGUGUGUUGCAUUCUUGACCCAUGUAAUCAAUGAGAAAGAAGAAGUUAAAGACCUCGCGAGCAUCCCCGAGGUCUGUAAUUUUCCUGAUGUGUUUUCCGAAGAGCUUCCAGGAAUCCCUCCCGAGCGUCAGGUCGAGUUCCGUAUUGACCUAAUUCCUGGGGCUACUCCCGUAGCGAAGUCUCCAUAUCGCUUAGCUCCAGCAGAGAUGCAGGAGUUAUCCAGUCAACUUAACGAGUUGCUUAGCAAAGGAUUCAUUAGACCGAGUUCCUCACCCUGGGGAGCUCCGGUUUUGUUUGUCAAGAAGAAGGAUGGAUCCUUUCGUAUGUGUAUCGAUUAUCGCGAGCUGAACAAGUUGACUGUCAAAAACCGAUAUCCUCUUCCGCGAAUAGAUGACCUCUUUGAUCAACUCCAGGGAGCCANUUACUUCUCUAAGACAGACCUUCGGUCAGGGUACCAUCAGUUACGAGUUCAUGAAAGUGAUGUGUCCAAAACAGCUUUCAGGACUCGAUAUGGACACUACGAGUUCGUAGUAAUGCCCUU